rnacentral:misc_RNA from 1 species
AACGCAAAUUGCACUCUCUUCGGAGAGUAUGCCUGUUUGAGGGUCAGUAUUAAUAAAAAUCGGCGUGUUGCUCUUUUGUGAUGCUCCGGAGUUUGGGUCAUCUUAUAAUAAUAUCUUUCAAGUGUUUUUUUAAGAGGCUUAAAAUUGACAUCUUUUUUGCGCAUUUUUUGACGUACAUAAAUUUUUUUAUUUGUUUAUUCUAAUGCCAAAAUCUAUUAGAUGCGACCAUAUCGUAUGGUUCCGUGUCUAUAAAUUUUUUCAUGAUUUGACCUCAAAUCAGGUAGGAACACCCGCUGAACUUAA